GCAGACGUCCCUUCCCCAGCCAGGCUGCCACCUCGCAGUUCAAUCUCAGACUGCUGUGCUAGCAGUGGGGAAGGCUCCGUGGGCAUGGAAACUGCCGAGCCAGGCACAGUAGAGAAUCACCUUGUCUGCCGGUUGCUAAGACCUUUGGAAAAGUGCAGUAUUUGGGUGAGAGUGUCCUAUUUUUCCAGGUACAGUCUGUCACGUCUUCCCUUGGCUAGGAAAGGGAAAUCCCCCGACCCCUUACACUUUCCGGGUGAGGCAACGCCCCACUCUGCUUCAGCUCACCCUCCAUGGGCUGCACUCACCUUCCAACCAGUCUCAAUGAGAUGAACCAGGUACCUCAGUUGGAAAUGCAGAAAUCACCCGUCUUCUGCGUCAAUCACGCUGAGAACUGCAGACCAGAGCUGUUCCUAUUUGGCCAUCUUGGAACCGGUCUGAGUCUGUUUUAGCCAGAUCAAGUACUUGCAGACACUUGAAGAAGCAUCUUUCUUGUGAUCUCCUGGCUGGUACCCUGAAGUCCUGUUAUGCCAAUGGACCAGCAACCCUCGCAGGUAGGAAUUACUGCUAGAAAGACUAUCCUCUCUGCAGGCAAAUUUCUGGAAGGAUACUAUUUUAUGGGGAAAAAUGUGAACAACUGUAGGUAAUUUCACAGUCUGUAGGGCUUGUCUCCUAUUUGUAAUUUCUUACAUGUUUACUCGUGGUGGAAAUGUGGAGGUGGCUAAGGAACAAGCAGGCCCGCUGUGUUUCAGUGGCUUUCAGAGAAGGUGGCGGGAAAUAGUCUCUUCUCAGCAGCAGCUGAAUCCCAGUGUUAGCAGACGGAGCCUUGUUUCUUGAAAGUACAUUCCCAGGGAUUCCCUUGAAGAAUGUGAGAGAUCAGCUGGAAUGAAACUGGAUGUUUUAGGGUCCUGAGGGAAAUGUAAAUCCAGCAGCUUAUUCUCAAGAUGUGGCUCCAGAACCAGCAGCACUGAUUCUUCUAAAGAGUUGAGAGUGCAUUUUAGCUGUGAUAUCUUUGUACUCUUAAGAAAUCCUCCUCAACAAGACAAAACUUGACCAAGAGCAUUCAGUUGUCUUCCAGAAGGCUCCCUUGAGGACUGGGACUCUUCCUGGAUGCACCCAAUUAAUCUAUUGAAACAAGGACUCGUGAUGGCAGCCCCUCACCUGACAAACUGGAUUUUCCCCAGAGAUCAUUUGUAAUGUUUUUCCUGAAUCUUAUUUGUGUUUCCCUAUUAGCAAUGUUAUGUAUUUCUAUAUCGCAAAUCCUAAGUGCCGCCUGUAGAACCUAACCUCCAUUUAUAGCAUGGAACACACAGCCCAUCACGUAUCCUUGCCCUGGCCUUCAGCCUCUGAAUAUUUUAAUAAAAAUCACUCUUUCCUCCUUAAGGACCAUGUUCUUUAAAAGCUUAACACAUAGUUCUUAAUAAUUGGUUGCUUUACUUGAUGUUUCUCUGUUUAUCUUGGCUGCCCAGAAGCUCAGACUUAAAUGUAAGAGUCUACUUACAGUAACAACCUUGUUGCGGAUACAAUUAAUUCUCCCUAUCUUGUAUGUGGUUUCCGUUGUCUUUAUUUAUUAUCUUUAUUUAAACCUUUAAAAGAGUAUAGGAUAUCAAUUUAUGAAAAGAAAAAUAUUUUUUUUAGUUCAAUUGAAAUCCCUGUUUUGUACCACACUAUAUUUAAUGCCC
rnacentral:lncRNA from 1 species